UACGAAGGGGACUAGCGUUGUUCGGAAUUACUGGGCGUAAAGCGCGUGUAGGCGGUUGCCCAAGUCGGGUGUGAAAGCCUUGAGCUCAACUCAAGAAAUGCACUCGGUACUGGGUGACUAGAGGACCGGAGAGGAUAGUGGAAUUCCCAGUGUAGUGGUGAAAUACGUAGAGAUUGGGAAGAACACCAGUGGCGAAGGCGGCUAUCUGGACGGUUUCUGACGCUAAGACGCGAAAGCGUGGGGAGCAAACAGG
rnacentral:rRNA from 1 species